rnacentral:rRNA from 1 species
UGGGGAAUAUUGCACAAUGGGCGCAAGCCUGAUGCAGCGACGCCGCGUGGGGGAUGACGGCCCUCGGGUUGUAAACUCCUUUCGCCAGGGACGAAGCGUUUUGUGACGGUACCUGGAGAAGAAGCACCGGCUAACUACGUGCCAGCAGCCGCGGUAAUACGUAGGGUGCAAGCGUUGUCCGGAAUUACUGGGCGUAAAGAGCUCGUAGGUGGUUUGUCACGUCGUCUGUGAAAUUCCACAGCUUAACUGUGGGCGUGCAGGCGAUACGGGCUGACUUGAGUACUGUAGGGGUAACUGGAAUUCCUGGUGUAGCGGUGAAAUGCGCAGAUAUCAGGAGGAACACCGAUAGCGAAGGCAGGUUACUGGGCAGUUACUGACGCUGAGGAGCGAAAGCAUGGGUAGCAAACAGGAUUAGAUACCCUGGUAGUCCAUGCCGUAAACGGUGGGCGCUAGGUGUAGGGGCCUUUUGGGGUUUCUGUGCCGUAGCUAACGCAUUAAGCGCCCCGCCUGGGGAGUACGGCCGCAAGGCUA